AUGCAUGUCGACUGUACCACACAGCUUGAUGUCAUCUGCAGACCGCAGGGGAUGCAUUUGAUCCCACAGUCAAUAUCAUUGAUAAAGAUGUUAAAAAGCACUGGUCCUGGAACUGACCCAGUUCCUCAUCCAUUGAACAGACCAUCCAUCAAACUCAGAUUUUUCCAGUUUGCCGAAAAUGAUGAUGUUUUGGGGGAUAAUGUCAAAGGCCUGAACAGCCAUGACAGCAGUGAGCUCCUGCUGUGGCCUUGUCCUGUGGAGGAGGAAAGGAGAGGGCUUCAGAGCAGCAGGGAAAAGAGAGGAGGGCUCAGCUCCUUCCAGCAGCACACUGGCUCUUCUCCCAAUCCAGAGCCUGUCCUGAGAAGUGCACGGUAUAUCCAGGUCACUGGAAAACAGUCAAGGAUUUGCAUCUCAUCCUGUUCGUGUCAGACCCAGAUGGACUGCACCUGGCCAGGAAAUGAAGAGCCUUGA
rnacentral:lncRNA from 1 species